AUAGUCACGUUUUGAGAUUCGGGGACUCUCAUUCUGGUUGCGGCGGUUCUGUGAGUCUGUCACAACUUGAGCGCUUUCUUGGGAGGUGUCGCGCUUUUUGCGAUUGCAGCAAUGAAUCUGCGGUCUGUCGUCAGAGGGCGCACUUUCCCGAGUCUUGCAUCCUGCAGACCUUAAAAUCCUCAACUCACGGGAGUGUGCGAAUUCAGAUCUGCCUUUGGCAUCUGGUGUGGUCUCCAGGUAAAUGUGUCAGCUGAUGGUACAGGUACACUGGCAUGUUUGCAGAAGCAGUUGUAUUAUCUGCAUCUAGUGAUUAAUGCUGAAAACUAGUACUGUGUAUCUGAUGUUUAAAUUGCUUUAGGCACUGUGUAGGUGUACAAAGUGUCUUUGGUAUUUAAAUAUUUGUUAACGGGACACUUUUUUUCUUUAGGAUAAGUGCCUUCAGACUGCAUGGAGAAUGUAUUGUGCAAAGUGAAAACUAUUACUGGGGGAUAUUUAUGGCGCGCGUCUGUACCUUAACUUGUACGUUUUUUAUUCUGAAACUAGGUCGCAAUCCUAUGGAUCUUCAAUGCGUGCAGUUGGGUACUUGAUGCCCUCCCAGUGCACCUCCAAGCCACCAGUGUUUCUCGGGUUAAGGGAGUAACGACAUUUGUUAAGUCAUUGUUAAUCAGUUUUUUAAUUUUGCUGACGGGUAUGCCUUAUUGGAUGUAAUACCUUGUCUGGUUUCAUUUGACAAACCUAAAUAAAACAGUCUACAAAGUA